CAUAACAUCCCAUCUAAAAACUAUAGAUUAAUGAAUUUGUUGGAGGACCUGGAGAUUUCUAGAGAGAUGAAGUCUAAUCCUGAUUUUUGUGUUAAUACUCAGAUCAAUUUAAAUUGUAAUUAUAAACCUCUCUUCAAGUAUCUGUGGGAGACAGUUGAGUAGUGACCUCUUGCAAUCUUUUAUGUAUAUAAAAACUAUUGUAUUUUUAUUCAAAAUUUAAUUUUAUAACUUUAUAUAAAAAAAAGGAAAACAUUUGACUAUUGGUCAGAUUUAUAUAUACAUUAUUAAUACAGAUUCUACCAACAAGUAAUGAGAGCCUUAGAAAUAAAACACCUAACAACAAAAGUGUUCGAAACUAUUUUGUUAAAAAUUGAAUUCCACCGAACACUAUAUCCUUCUAUUUUGUCAUCAACGUCUUACAACAAUAGACACUGAAUAUACCCAUUUUAACAUCAUAGCAUUUAAUAAAAUCAUUUAAUAUUUCUACAUAAACAUUAGGUUUUCAACUUAAUAAAAUAUCCAUACACCAAGUCAAGGUCAUUGCAAUGACUUACAUAAAUGACAAAAAGAUGAUAAAUAACAACAAUAUAAUAUUAUCUCAAUCUUUAACUUCAACAAGCUAACAUCUUCUGAAUAUUGAAUUUGAGAAUUCACAAUCAAAAUUGAUCUUUCUCAUUACUUUCUGUUUAAUAAUUUUUUUUGUUUUUUAAUUUAAUUUUUGAACUUAACACAGUGUAUGUAAGUUGGGCCAAUUAGUCUCAAAAUCAAGCAUGUCAUCAAUUAAUUUAAUAGUUGAUUAGUACAAACAUCUAAGGUACAUUUCCUUAUCAAUUUCAUUGUAAAAAUUUUCAAUUUUCCUUUCAAUAUGUUUAAAAUAUUCAUGUUUCAACGUCAGCUGUCAACGUCAACGCAGAACAGAUAAAAGCAGAUUUGAAUAUCCGACCUUGUCAGUCAGCUGUUGUUACUAGGCCAAGGAUGGACGGGUGAUAUCGACACCCGGACCAUGAAAAAGUUUAUAUGUUUUUUUUGUGCAACGUGUAUGUGGCCGUUUCUUUCUGUUUUUUUUGCUGUUUGCUGUUGUACGGAGGACUAAGCUAGCAUUCAAAAUUUAAAAAUCAAAUGUACAUUCCUAAGAUGCACUUUUUUACACCUCUAUGUAGCGGUACUUUUUUAGUAUUUGACCAUUAGCUCCGAUGAUGACGUUUAUGUCGAAAGCGCUCAGCUAAGGAAAUAAAAUUAUUUACACACUUUGACAUACUACAUUUUCAUUUUCCCUUAUUCAUUCAAGUGUGUACAAACUUAUCAGUCUUUCAACUAUUAUUAUUUAUUUAUACAAGUUUACUUUACAAACUUUAGCUUAAGACUAAACUCUAUUUACAAAUAUGCCGUAUUUAUAUA